GCCGCCCUAGCUCAACGGUAGAGCAUCCGCUUUGUAAGCGGCAGGUUGGGGGUUCGAUUCCUCUGGGCGGCU
rnacentral:tRNA from 6 species